ensembl:lncRNA
AAGCGCAGCUUAAGAAAAAGAAUAAGCGCCUCAGUCUCGUUUUCAGCUGAAAAAGAUGAUGGCAAAAAAGGCAGGUUUUUCUAGUCAUGAUAAGUGGAAAUAAUCAGGUAAGAGCUAGGUUCUGACUGAGCUUUACACUGAGCUCAGGGCCCUGCACUGGCCCGUGCUGAGGGGGCCCCAGGGGCUCUGCCUGGGGGCAGCAUUCAGUCUGGGGUGGUACAUCCUCUCAGUGGUACCCCUCAGCACCCCCUGGAGCCCCAGGGAAUGUCUAUUAAGCACCAUUCAGAACAGGAGAACUACCUUCCUCCCUACUCUCACCCAUUCCUGCCCUCAGAUCACCAACCAGAUCUUCAACCCAUAGGGGUGGAAGUCGGAAGAUAAACAGCCCAGCUUCUUCCAUUCUCAGGAAAAAGGAAAAUUCUAAAGUGUAUUCCAUAAGAGUCACACGGAGUAAGUGGCAGUCCUAAAAUAUGUCAACAAAUUCUUUGAACUUCAGUCUUUAAAAAGGUGAAGCCCAAUUCCCCUGCCCUCAAAUGCAAGCGACAUUAAGUGACACUUCUAAUGACUAGAACAUGAUGAGACUUCCAAGCUGAGGCGGUGAAAACGCGGCCUCUAGGGAAAGCCAGAGCCAUGUCGUGAGAACACAGGCAGCUCACGGGGAGGCCCGCACAGCAAGGGACGAGGCGUCCCACCAACAACCAGCGCCCGCGCACCAGCCGCGUGGUGGAGCCACCUUGGAGACGGAUCCUGCACCCCUUCCAGCCUUCAGAUGCUGCUGCUCCGACCACCAUCUUGACUAUAAUCUUACCAGAGGUCUUGAGCCAGAGCUGCCCAGAUAAGCCAGUUCUGAAUCCCUCAGCUACAGGAAAUUUUUCCAAUAUCCCAGCUCUACUUGGUGUCACUGUAUUUUUUCCACUGAGCCUAACUGACAGAAGAGAACUCAUGUGGGCUUUGGAACCAAACGAGUCACGCAGGCUGUGUGACCUUGAUAAAGGCACCUUAUGUCUCUGGACUCUUGUAUAAGAUGGAAAUGAGGCCCCUCCCACAGGAUGGAUAUGAGCAUCAAAUGAGAAACCGAAAGAAACUUCUAGCACAGUCUUAAUAUGCAGUAGGCACUCGAUGAAGUCUUCCUGUCUCUUAUAUCCACAUGACUGCCACGUCCAUUAAUGUCAGAGGUUCUCAAUCUUCUCCCCGUGACUUAUUUUCUUCUGCCUUGGAUCCCAUUCCCCGAAGCACCUGCCUUCAAUCUCCAAGUCACAUGGUUUCACACUAAAAUUCCCCCAAAGACUUCCUAUUUACUGAAGGAAUACUACCGAAGUAAUCAGGAAAAUUGGCUUUGAGAUCAUUCAUAGAAAUAGACAGGUUUAAAAUUCAGCCAGGAGCAAGAGUGUCAGCACCUUAGCGUGAAUAAUUUCUAGUUACAGACAAAUGAUGAUGGUAAGGUCUCUGUUUGGUUUGGGUAUAGCUGGUGAGAAACUGGAAGGUACUAAGUCAACUGAAAGACCUAAAGGAAAAAAAAAAAAAACAACUGUGGAACCCAAUAAGCACCCAGUGAGAGGCUGCUGGUGUUUUGGAAUAAUUUAGGAGCUCUAACCCCCAUUUGAGGCAAAGAGGCUGAAAAGGAAGACUGGGGAUGGCUAUGUGCUUUGGAAUGUGCUUCGGAAAACAGCAUUGGCAGUAUUAUUAGCUGCAUCAACGUGCAGAAGCCAUCAAUCUUCCUACUUCGGGGAAUAAGUG